rnacentral:tRNA from 1 species
CGGUCAGCCAGUCCGCCUCGGUCGAGCGCAGCUCGGCCCACAGCCGGGCGCGGUCGGGCACGACGUUGAACGCGCCCGGCUCGGCCUCGAGCCGACCCAC